rnacentral:rRNA from 1 species
CCUACGGGGGGCAGCAGUGGGGAAUAUUGCACAAUGGGCGCAAGCCUGAUGCAGCCAUGCCGCGUGUGUGAAGAAGGCCUUCGGGUUGUAAGCACUUUCAGCGGGGAGGAAGGCGGUGAGGUUAAUAACCUCAUCGAUUGACGUUACCCGCAGAAGAAGCACCGGCUAACUCCGUGCCAGCAGCCGCGGUAAUACGGAGGGUGCAAGCGUUAAUCGGAAUUACUGGGCGUAAAGCGCACGCAGUCGGUCUGUCAAGUCGGAUGUGAAAUCCCCGGGCUCAACCUGGGAACUGCAUUCGAAACUGGCAGGCUAGAGUCUUGUAGAGGGGGGUAGAAUUCCAGGUGUAGCGGUGAAAUGCGUAGAGAUCUGGAGGAAUACCGGUGGCGAAGGCGGCCCCCUGGACAAAGACUGACGCUCAGGUGCGAAAGCGUGGGGAGCAAACAGGAUUAGAUACCCCUGUAGUC